rnacentral:lncRNA from 1 species
UGCCUGUAUUAAAAAUUACCAUAUUACCUAUGUUUUAUAUUUAUAUUUAUAGCUCAGCCUGCUACGAAGGUUUAACCACACACCCCAGGUGUAACAAUAUUUUCUCAAUGUAAAUCCAGGAAAUAACAGUUCAUCUUUUAUUAUUGUGUUCUAUUGAUACCGAAAUGAUAGCUAGGUAAUACCAAUUAAUAACUUAUUUUUUCAUAAAUCCAAAUUUCAUCUAAAUUAAAUUCAGAAAAUGAAAAUACUUUCAUCAUUGUUGAAAACAUUUAAACAUUCUUUUUUAUUUAAACAGAAGCUCAAGUCAAUUAAUUUGUAAAUCAUUU